UAUUUUAGACAAGAGUACUACAAAACCAAUCAAUCAGAAUAAAAUACAAUGUUUGUGUGUCAUUUGUUUCUUGCCAAUAUAUUUUCCUUUGGAAUGCUUAUAACUAUUGUUAAAUAAAGAACAAAUGUGGCAGAAGACUGCUGACUAUAGCCACUUUCGUUUGAAAAGUGUUGAAAGUCUUUUAUGGCAAGUCUUUUUCCUUUUUAUAACAUCAUACAGUUUGUCAUAUGCUACACCCCUCCCGACGGUAAGACUUGUAUAGCACAAUCAGAGACCUGACAGGGCUUGUCUAUACUUGGCCCCUUGUUACCUUUCUGGGGUGCAUCCAUUGUGAAUAUUGUGUUUAAAUUCACUGUAUUGCUAUAUGAUCAGCUUACACUCCUGUGUUAAUUUCAACUCACCAUGGUUACAGCCUGAUUAGCUCUAUCUACCUUCACUGGGUAAGCCUCGUUUUGCUAUUUUAUUUAAAUGGUUAUGCAUGUCAUUUUAGAACUUAGCAUCUUAUUGCUAUAUAUUUAUCCAUAGAUUUUUAGCUGCAAUCUGCAUUGGCUAUAUACUACUAUGGUGCAGAUGGAACUUUUUCACUGGAUGCCAGUACAAGUUUAUUCUUUUAACCAUUAACCCCUCACCAGUUCAGACUCCGGGUUACUGUUACCCCUAAUCUCAACUGAUGCUCCUCUAGCACAUUUAUAACAAAAAGUCCUUUGAAGAAGCGCCAUAUCUCAGCGCGAAACAUGUCAGGCCACAGCGAUUCCUUUGUCAUCGUUUAGACCUUCAGUCUAUGCAGUCUUCGGUCCUUCCUCAGGAACUUUUACAAUCUAUAAGUGGUUGGAGGUUCUUUGUUUGUCUUUAUCAACAGUAUAUCUCAAUAACCAGUUGAAAUUCUUUUUUAUGUAAUUAUGUUUAAUUACCAAUUCCUGAUGGUUCUCACUGAAUACUGUAACGCUGUGUAAUUUUGUUUUUGAGCAAAUUCAAUCAUAUGGAGAUUUUCUUAAAGUGUUUAAUAAUACCUUGUGUAAUAAAUAUAUUUUUUUAGCAAACAUUUCCCCCUGUUUGUGGUGACUACUAUCUUUACCAGUUUACAGUGCCCUCAAAGUCCAUGACUUGCCCCUAGGUCAUUUUUUCCAUUUUGGACAAUUGAUAUUUUGAUUUACCCUGUUGAUUGUGGAAUCCACUUUGUUCUCAAUGGUUUCAAUGCAAGAGCCCAGCAUCUAGAGAUCCAUUUUAAUGUCAGUAGUGAUUCUGGCUGCAGUCUGUGCUAACCCCCUAUCCAACAUUUCAGCAAAUCUGGAAAACAUGAGGGUGAUGUCCUGGUGGUGGGAGGUGUAAGGCUCAUUGGCCUGGUAUGUCACAGACUGCCCAGGGGAUGCUGCAGCUGAGAGGGACAUCAGUAUCUUGUCCAGAGUUUGAUUUAACAGGGACACUGUGGUGGCUGGAGAUAAGGGUCCCUCAGUGGAAGUGAUGGUUGGUGCUCUGCCACAUACCUCCUCCUGAAGAGCAUCCCAUCAUGAAGAGGAUGGAGAGGCCCCUGAGAUGAGCGGCCAUGUAGCGGCCAUUCCACCGCCAUCUUAGAAGCUGCUGAGGCGGCUCGAGGCGGCUCUAAAUUGUGCUUUCAGGCAACUUUACACCAUCCCCACUGACAUGGCAGUGUGCCCGCAGGUUUCCCCUGUAUUCUGGUGCCAUUUGAACUGCUCCUGGGUUAUGUUGCUCCGUGCAGGAAGCGUCAAGCGAGCAGAGCGGGACGAAGCUCCCAGAUCAAACGGCCAUCUCGGUCGGCUCUGUGCAUGCGCCUCCUUUUUGUUUUUAUGUUUUAUUUUCCCUCAGUUUAGUAUAUUAUCGUUGCCUUUGGUCCCUUGACUUGAUAAAGCACAUGCGCGUGAAACACAUCAUCAAGGCAGCCAGGUCAAACAUGUUAUCCUUUAAUACAUUCAUGACUUUUAUGUUUAACAUGAUUUAAUAAAUUACUUUGUAUCACUGUCAGUGGCAUCUUACAAUUGACUCCUUGUGGAACUCCAAUGAAUGUAUCACUCAGAGCUGUUAAUUUGGUACUUUUGUUUUAUUACCCUCAUUGUGCCGAGUGACUCUUACAGCAGCUGGGACCAUCGGGUGUCUCUCCUCUCUUUUAUAUAUUUGUGAUAUAAGGAUAUUUAGGACUUAAAAAAAAAAAUUAUACUAAAAACACCUCCAGUCAGCAACUGGAGAUAACUUAUAAAAACUCAGAAUGACUCUUUUACUGGCCUACGACAGAUUACUAGCUUGACUGUUUAAAGUUUGUGAUACAUACUAUAUCACUGUAGCAAUUGUAUUUUUCUCACAUUUUGUAAUCAUUAUUUUCUUUUAUUGUUUUUAUUGCAAACUAAAAUAAUUGAGGUGAUAUAAAUACUAGAUAUGCCAUGAACCAAUAUUUGUAAUACUAAUCUAUAAAGAAAACCUGCAACGUUAAGCCAGUUCAAACACAAUUACCUUCUAGCUAACCAAAUGUUCUUUAGGUUAGUGGUGGUUGCUUUUGCACCAUGUACUAUGUAAUGCUAUGCAGCAGCAUUUAUGUGAAUUCCCUUAUUUGCAACAGAUUGUUAUUCCCCUAGGUCUCAACAUGCUCUGUAAUAAAUUAUAAGAAACAAGCAUAAUAGGAACAGCACCACACAAGUUGAUCCUUGCAAGUUCUAAAUCGUUUGGCUGUAAUGAGCGCAGGAUGUCAGAUUCAAGAUACCUUUAUUUGCUUUGUUUUAUAUUCUGCGCAAUAUCCUACAUUAAAGUUAUCAAGGGACAUGUUUUUGCUACAGUUUAAUGCAGUCAUGUACUCAGUCUCAACUUUCUUUAAGACCUACAAAAAAAGAUAGAAAAGUAAAAAUGUUGUUCACCACUUUGUAGUGUGAAAGCUUUACAUUUCCCUUGUAGUUAGUUUAUCUUUGU